GGUCUAAGAGUUCUAAACCAACGUAUAUACCGCGAAUCGGCGCGGCGUUUCUACCAGACACCUUAAUGUCUGACUAUGGGGGAAUCAUGAAACUUU
rnacentral:ncRNA from 1 species